rnacentral:lncRNA from 1 species
CCAACGAAGAAGAGCCCAAUCCGGUUGUUAAUCCUCAAAAGUCUUCCACUUCAACAUUGAAAGCUUCGGUGAAGAAAGGUUCUAAGAAAUCUCCAUCACGGUCUAGUAAGAAGGAAAGAACCAAUUUGAAGGCCAAAUGGGAAGGUCUCAAGAGUGAUUCGGGAAGUGUGAAAUCAUUACUAUUUGAUAUUAAUAUUGCUCCUUUGAAUGAAGAGAACAAGAGGAGCCGAGUUGAAUCAAAGUUGAAGUAUCCUCC